rnacentral:rRNA from 1 species
AUUGAACGCUAGCGGCAGGCCUAACACAUGCAAGUCGAACGAGUGGCGGACGGGAGAGUAAUGUCGGGGAAACUGCCUAAUGGAAGGGGAAAAAUAGUGGACACGGUAGAUAAAAGCGCAUCACCACGGAUGGGCCCAUAUGGGAUUAGCUAGUAGGUGGGGUAAAGGCUCACCUAGGAGACGAUCCCUAGCUGGUCUGCGAGGAGGACCAGCCACACUGGAACUGAGACACGGUCCAGACUCCUACGGGAGGCAGCAGUGGGGAAUAUUGCACAAUGGGCGCAAGCCUGAUGCAGCCAUGCCGCGUGUAUGAAGAAGUCCUUCGGGUUGUAAAGUACUUUCAGCGGGGAGGCGUUACCCGCAGAAGAAGCACCGGCUAACUCCGUGCCAGCAGCCGCGGUAAUUC